rnacentral:rRNA from 1 species
CCAAUAGCGUAUAUUAAAGUUGUUGCAGUUAAAAAGCUCGUAGUUGAACUUCGGGAUUUGCCCAUUGGUCAGGCUUAACUGUCUGUACUGGUGUGACGAGUUCCUACCUUCUGAGGAAUCUCCAUGUCAUUCAGUUGGUGUGGGGGGAAAUCAGGACUGUUACUUUGAAAAAAUUAGAGUGUUUAAAGCAGGCGUCCGUCUGAAUACAUUAGCAUGGAAUAAUAAAAUAGGACGGUUUGGUUCUAUUUUGUUGGUUUCUAGGAUCACCGUAAUGAUUAAUAGGGAUAGUUGGGGGCAUUAGUAUUCAAUUGUCAGAGGUGAAAUUCUUGGAUUUAUUGAAGACUAACUACUGCGAAAGCAUCUGCCAAGGAUGUUUUCAUUAAUCAAGAACGAAAGUUAGGGGAUCGAAGACGAUCAGAUACCGUCGUAGUCUUAACCAUAAACUAUGCCGACUAGGGAUCGGACGAAGUUAAUUUUUUAAUGACUCGUUCGGCACCUUACG